UGGGGAAUAUUGGACAAUGGGCGAAAGCCUGACGCAGCAACGCCGCGUGAGUGAUGAAGGCCUUCGGGUCGUAAAGCUCUGUCAGAGGGGAAGAACCACCUGAAGGUUAAUAUCCUUCAGGCCUGACGGUACCCUCAAAGGAAGCACCGGCUAACUCCGUGCCAGCAGCCGCGGUAAUACGGAGGGUGCGAGCGUUGUUCGGAAUUAUUGGGCGUAAAGGGCGCGCAGGCGGUCUGUUAAGUCUGAUGUGAAAGCCCCGGGCUCAACCCGGGAAGUGCAUUGGAAACUGGCAGACUUGAGUACGGGAGAGGGUAGUGGAAUUCCGCAUGUAGGGGUGAAAUCCGUAGAUAUGCGGAGGAACACCGGUGGCGAAGGCGGCUACCUGGACCGAUACUGACGCUGAGGCGCGAAAGCGUGGGGAGCGAAACAGGAUUAGAUACCCUGGUAGUCCACGCCGUAAACGAUGGACACUAGGCGUUGCAGGUAUCCAUUCCCGCAGUGCCGAAG
rnacentral:rRNA from 1 species